rnacentral:rRNA from 1 species
AGAGUUUGAUCCUGGCUCAGGACGAACGCUGGCGGCGUGCUUAAUGCAUGCAAGUCGAACGAAGAAUCCGCUAUGGGUAACCACUGUGGAUUGCUUAGUGGCGAACGGGUGAGUAACACGUGAGAAACCUGCCCCGGAGACCGGGAUAGCCCAGGGAAACCUGGAUUAAUACCGGAUACCCUCUUUUGAUCUCAUGAUCGACUGAGGAAAUGGUCCGCUGCUCCGGGAUGGUCUCGCGCCCUAUCAGCUAGUUGGUGAGGUAACGGCUCACCAAGGCGAUGACGGGUAGCUGGUCUGAGAGGACGAUCAGCCACACUGGGACUGAGACACGGCCCAGACUCCUACGGGAGGCAGCAGCAGGGAAUUUUGCACAAUGGGCGAAAGCCUGAUGCAGCGACGCCGCGUGGGGGAUGAAUGCCUUCGGGUUGUAAACCCCUUUCAGGAGGGACGAAGCGAAAGUGACGGUACCUCCAGAAGAAGCCCCGGCCAACUACGUGCCAGCAGCCGCGGUAAUACGUAGGGGGCGAGCGUUGUCCGGAUUUAUUGGGCGUAAAGAGCUCGUAGGCGGCUCAACAAGUCGGCCGUGAAAACCUGAGGCUCAACCUCAGGACGCCGGUCGAAACUGUUGUGGCUAGGGUUCGGUAGAGGAGAGUGGAAUUCCCGGUGUAGCGGUGAAAUGCGCAGAUAUCGGGAAGAACA